CUCAUAGCAGUGUUCUGGAAUCCUACGUGAGGGACAAACACUCAGAACCAAUCAGCAGUGUUCUGGAAUCCUAUGUGAGGGA
rnacentral:miRNA from 10 species